GAUGAACGCUGGCGGCGUGCCUAAUACAUGCAAGUCGAGCGAACAGACGAGGAGCUUGCUCCUCUGACGUUAGCGGCGGACGGGUGAGUAACACGUGGAUAACCUACCUAUAAGACUGGGAUAACUUCGGGAAACCGGAGCUAAUACCGGAUAAUAUAUUGAACCGCAUGGUUCAAUAGUGAAAGACGGUUUUGCUGUCACUUAUAGAUGGAUCCGCGCCGCAUUAGCUAGUUGGUAAGGUAACGGCUUACCAAGGCGACGAUGCGUAGCCGACCUGAGAGGGUGACCGGCCACACUGGAACUGAGACACGGUCCAGACUCCUACGGGAGGCAGCAGUAGGGACUCUUCCGCAAUGGGCGAAAGCCUGACGGAGCAACGCCGCGUGAGUGAUGAAGGUCUUCGGAUCGUAAAACUCUGUUAUUAGGGAAGAACAAAUGUGUAAGUAACUAUGCACGUCUUGACGGUACCUAAUCAGAAAGCCACGGCUAGCUACGUG
rnacentral:rRNA from 1 species